rnacentral:lncRNA from 1 species
GGUGGUGGCGGGGCUGAGGGUGGCCUCCCGCCAUCGCCUGCCUUUCCCGCUUGGUUCCAGGAGCCACUGGUGUUUGCGGAGCAGCCCUCGGUGAAGCUGUGCUGUCAGCUCUGCUGCAGCGUCUUCAAAGACCCCGUGAUCACCACGUGUGGGGUGAGCCCGCCGCCCUUCCCAGCCCCCCUGCUGCCAGAGGCCCCCACAGGACCCCAGGGCUCUCGGGGGCCGGGGCUGUGGCGCCCUGGCCUUGGUCAAGGCCUGUCCUGGCUGCACUGGGCUUGGGGUACAGCGAGGCCUGUGGCUGCCAUGGCCAUGGACUAGGGAAAAAGAGGA